AUUGAACGCUGGCGGCAGGCCUAACACAUGCAAGUCGAGCGGAUGAAGGGAGCUUGCUCCUGGAUUCAGCGGCGGACGGGUGAGUAAUGCCUAGGAAUCUGCCUGGUAGUGGGGGAUAACGUCCGGAAACGGGCGCUAAUACCGCAUACGUCCUGAGGGAGAAAGUGGGGGAUCUUCGGACCUCACGCUAUCAGAUGAGCCUAGGUCGGAUUAGCUAGUUGGUGGGGUAAAGGCCUACCAAGGCGACGAUCCGUAACUGGUCUGAGAGGAUGAUCAGUCACACUGGAACUGAGACACGGUCCAGACUCCUACGGGAGGCAGCAGUGGGGAAUAUUGGACAAUGGGCGAAAGCCUGAUCCAGCCAUGCCGCGUGUGUGAAGAAGGUCUUCGGAUUGUAAAGCACUUUAAGUUGGGAGGAAGGGCAGUAAGUUAAUACCCUGCUGUUUUGACGUUACCAAUAGAAUAAGCACCGGCUAACUUCGUG
rnacentral:rRNA from 1 species